ensembl:lncRNA
CACACAGCCCGGAAAACCACCGCGUUUCAUGCUGCCCAAAUCAGCUUCAGCUCAUCACCCUGGGACUCCAGCGGGGGCUCUGUGGAAGCUUCCCCUGUUUCCAGCUGCUGCUACCCCGUGCUUGUUGACCAUGCUUCAUGCUCUGGCAUACACCUGGAAAGGUGAACUCUGCCAUGGCCUAGGAAGAGCUCUGCUCGCUCUUUCUUAGCAAUGCCUCUGAACAUCUUGAAAGCCAGGAGGAAGAGGCCAUGACUGAAAGGCAGAGAGAUUCUGGCAGCACAAGGGACCGUUUCACAACAACAAGCUCCACACAGUCUACGGGAACACCAUUUCUUAGCUGCUUUCCUCCCUGCCCCAAUGGCCGUCACACUUCAUCAUCUCCACUGACAGGCUGGAGCAGCAGCAAGUCGUACUGCUGGGUUUCUGAAGGCCCUUUCAACCUCCAGAGGGAAGAAAACAGCCCCAACAAAAAGGGGGCAGCGGGGCUCUCCCUAGGACACCACUGGUCUCUGCAGAGUUCACAGGGACUUCAAACGCACAAAGCACCCACAAAAGCAUCCCAACAGCUCCAACAAGGAAGCAAAACAAAGCCAGGACGCUCUGCAGGGCUCCCAGCUCUUAGGAGCUGACACCUGCUAAGAGAUGCACAGAAACCCUCUUCCCUACUUCUCCCCCUGCCAUUUCUACAGCCAUUUACAGACAAUGGGGAAAGGCAGCGUAAGGCUCGUGGAGAAGACUGGGUGGACAUGACAUUUCUCACUCCCCUGCUGACAGAGCACUGCUCGUCAAGAGGACCACUAUUUCUCAAACAAGCACCAACCAAGCAUGGCAACAAACAACUCAAAUGGCACUUGCCCAGCAAAACAACCAGCCUGCCCAAAGACCUCUCCUCAGAGACUUGCCCAAAAGGCCACAACCAUUACUCCCACGUGGCAGGCUUACUCACAGAACAGCAGCCUUCUCGUCACCGUGCAUCACCAGGACACAAGCAGCCUGCUGGGGCAAGGGAGGCAAUCUCUCCUCAGCAUCUCACCACACACGUUCCCUCCGCACUGCUUUCCUGCACAGAUACAAGGACAAAAGCCUCACUUCAUCCGAGCAACGACUGGCAGCAACUCCACAAAAUCCUCCAUGCCAAAGCAGCUCCUGCAGAUGCACAACGGAGUCCUCCGCAAGGAACACGAGCUUAUGCUGCAGCCUCUGGAGAAGCAAGCUGCCUUUGCGGUGCUUGCUCGGGAGGCCUCCUUUGGAUCACCUCUCAGCCACAGCAGGAGAGCUUCUCUUCUCCAUAUCCAUGCACCUCGGUACCUUUUCCCAAGUUCCAAAAAGCCAAGGAAGGCAAAGCCAAAUCACCUGAAAAGCCGAGAAACAAAGAGGAACACCCUGAAGGAGGGAGAAAAGAGUUCCAAGAAUGGGAAAGGGAAAAGUAUCAAUCACCACAUCUGAACAAAACCAAGGUAUUGCAACACAGGAGCAGCAAUAAAGCAAGACUGACAAAAGAACGGCAAACAACAAGGAAAACAGAGCAAAGCAAAACAAAGACACGAAAUACAAGAGUCCAGCACAUGAACUCAAG